AUUGAACGCUGGCGGCAUGCCUAACACAUGCAAGUCGAACGGCAGCACAGUAAAGACUUCGGUCUUUAUGGGUGGCGAGUGGCGGACGGGUGAGUAACGCGUAGGAAUCUGUCCUGGAGAGUGGGAUAACCCGAGGAAACUCGGGCUAAUACCGCAUGAUAUCGAGAGAUCAAAGGCAGGGGACCCUUCGGGCCCUUGCGCUCGAGGUUGAGCCUACGUCGGAUUAGCUAGUUGGUGGGGUAAAGGCCUACCAAGGCGACGAUCCGUAGCUGGUCUGAGAGGAUGACCAGCCACACUGGGACUGAGACACGGCCCAGACUCCUACGGGAGGCAGCAGUGGGGAAUCUUGGACAAUGGGGGAAACCCUGAUCCAGCGAUGCCGCGUGUGUGAAGAAGGCCUUCGGGUUGUAAAGCACUUUAGGUGGGGAAGAAAGGUAAUGAGUGAAUAACUGAUUGCUUUGACGGUACCCGCAGAAUAAGCACCGGCUAACUCUGUGCCAGCAGCCGCAGUAA
rnacentral:rRNA from 1 species